AGUGAAAUUUCUGGGUCAUAUUUGUUUUUAACAUUUUGAGAAACUGCCAAAUAGUUUUCUAAAGUAGCUGCACCAUUUUACAUUUCCACCAGCAAU
rnacentral:pre_miRNA from 1 species